rnacentral:lncRNA from 1 species
CUGUUUAUUGUCUGUCUUCCAUCACCAGAAAGGAGGCUUCAUAAAGGUAGGAAAUAUUUUGGUUUAUUGCUGUUUCCCCAUUGCCUAGAAAUAGCAUCUGGUCAUAGUAGCUGCUCAACAAUCAUAACAAAAGCAUUUAUGUAUUGUCUACUAUGAGUCAGUACAUUGCAUAUAUAAGCAUUUAUUGAAUGAUCAAGAUAUGUUCUUUUAUGAGACUCAGAUAUUGCCUUUUUAGGUUUUGGCUUUUGAGAUUUUGGUAAACAAGCUUACUUAUUAGUAAUUAAGCAGAAACAGCAAAUUAAGGUGUAUUUGGCAGACUAACUCCAGACUAUGUAGUGGCUAGCCACGCCAUUGUGCGGUGAAGAUCCUGAAGAUAAAUCUGGGCUUAGUUCUGUGAUUGAUGAUGCUGUCUACAAUGUUUACCCAGAACGGAGACUGGAGGCAUAGGUAACCCACUGCUGGCAUUUCUGGUUUAGACUGUGUAGUUUACUGAAAGAAUGGAAGAGUAUAACUUAUCCCUUUGGCUUGCAUGUCUAGUUUUUAAUAUAUAUGCAAUGCAAUAUAAUGAGUUCCCGUCAUGGCGCAGCAGAAACAAAUCCAACUAGGAAACAUCGAUCCCUGGCCUCGCUCAGUGGGUUAAGAAUCUGGCAUUGCCCUGAGCUGUGGUGUAGGUCAAAGACCAGGCUCGGAUCUGGCGUGGCUGUGGCUGUGGUGUAGGUCAGCAGCUACAGCUCCGAUUAGACCCCCAGCCUGGGAACCUCCGUAUGCCACGGUUGCGACCCUAUAAAAAAACAAAACAAAACAAAAAAUUCCUGCGCCAGGGAUCAAACCCCUGCCAGAGUAGUGACCCAAGCUGCUGCAGUGACAACAUCGGCUCCGUAACCCACUGCACCACAAAAGAACUCCUAUUGUAUUUUUUUAAUUUUGGUGAUGUCCGAAAGUCAAGUACUAGACAUAAUAUAAGGCAUAAUAUUGACUUUCAGUACUGAAAAGCUCUACCUCCGAAAAAUAAUCUAUAUUUGAAAGUCAUGCUCUCUCUAAAUCUGUUUUUGAUUCUAGUGUGAAUAACCACAGCUGCUUCAGCCAUAGCUGGGGAGGUUUCUGAUUAUACAAUAAUCUUUCAUUGGGAGAAAACUGCUUAUCAGAAGAUUGCUCUUUUCAGAUAUUCAAUUCCACACUCAGCAUUAUGUAACAAAUUUCACCUUCCAGUUCACCAGCUUUUACCAAGAACUCUUACCCAAGCUGUUCAGAGUAGAACAGAAUUCUAAAGUCUCUGACCUUUAUUUCUGUGCAUGUAGCUCUUAGAGCGUUGAGUUUUAAUUUUCUACAUUUCCACGUUUCUGAAGAAAUGUCACUUU